rnacentral:rRNA from 1 species
AGUGAACGCUGGCGGUAGGCCUAACACAUGCAAGUCGAACGGCAGCACAGGAGAGCUUGCUCUCUGGGUGGCGAGUGGCGGACGGGUGAGGAAUACAUCGGAAUCCACCUUUUCGUGGGGGAUAACGUAGGGAAACUUACGCUAAUACCGCAUACGACCUACGGGUGAAAGUGGGGGACCGCAAGGCCUCACGCGAUUAGAUGAGCCGAUGUCCGAUUAGCUAGUUGGCGGGGUAAUGGCCCACCAAGGCGACGAUCGGUAGCUGGUUUGAGAGGAGGAUCAGCCACACUGGAACUGAGACACGGUCCAGACUCCUACGGGAGGCAGCAGUGGGGAAUAUUGGACAAUGGGCGCAAGCCUGAUCCAGCCAUACCGCGUGGGUGAAGAAGGCCUUCGGGUUGUAAAGCCCUUUUGUUGGGAAAGAAAUCCUGUCGAUUAAUACUCGGUGGGGAUGACGGUACCCAAAGAAUAAGCACCGGCUAACUUCGUGCCAGCCGCCGCGGUAACAC